UCGCCCAGGACAUCUGCAGAUCCCCAGGUGACCUCCCGGCUCCAGCCCUCUUCCUGAACACCUCCAGCAAUCAGGAGGGGGAAUUGGUUUCACUUCGCUGCACCAUUGAUGGCCCUUCAGUGCCUUCCCGGAUUGUAUUCUGCAAGGAUAGGAUGGAGGCCCACAGCCUGAAAUGGCAACCAUGGAAAUUGAGCUACACCAUAACUCUAAAGGUCACCCAGGAGAGCGAGGGGACAUACACAUGUGGAUACCAGGUCAACGAUGGCAGCAACCGAGUAAGAAGCUCUGCCCUCAGUGCUGGCCGCAUCCUGGAUGUCCCUGGCACUGUGGCAGGUUCCCCGACAUGGUCAUCACCCCCAGGUGAGUGAUUCCAUCCU
rnacentral:lncRNA from 1 species